UUUUUUAAACCAAAUACUCCAUUACUUUUAUAUAGAAAGGAAUGGCUAUCGUUGUCAACACCCAGAUUUAUAAUUACAGUGCUCCAACGAUAUAAGAGCUUGUCAUAUUAAUAAUUAAGCUUCCACACACACACACAUUGAAGAAUCUAAUUUUCAAAAUAAAAUGGUAAAUUAGAAAGCUAAAUCACUCUUAUCCCUAGGGUUACCUCGCUGAAAUCUAUCUUCAACGCAUUAGAUCACAGAUAUUUGCUCCUGAUAACAAGAAUAUAAUGUUUUAUGAUUCACGAACCUAAUGAUCUAGCAAGCAUAGUCACAGGAUGUCAAGACUAAGAUCGAACAACUUUCCAAUCAUAUUCACCGUAUGUUGCAAUAUCUUCCCAUACCUUCACCGAUAGCUCCAACUAUAUAAACAGGUGUCGAAGAUGACUCAUCCAAGUAUGUACAUAAUUUACAGCUCUUUCUAAAGACGGGGUAAAGGACAACAGAGAAAAGACUUUAGCCACAAUUACAGAUUUCUAUCAUUGGAGACUAUUAGUUGCUCACCUCUUUAGGUUGUUGAUUUUUGGACGGAGUAGCCUUGCAAUGCUGCUUGCGCUUGGUAGACAACCAUGUCCUGCAUUGAAAGGUAAAAAGGUGAUGUUCAAAAUGUCAUGGAUGUGGAUGGCCUUUAGAUUUCUGCAGCACUUCUUUCAGCACUGCAGCAAUUCUGUGUGCCAUGUGAUGUUCCAAAAACAUUUCUUUGACCCUCUCAUAUCCUCUCUUCCCCAUUGUAAGCCUCCUCUCAACAUGAGUGGCAAGUUUGACUAUGUUCUUUGCGAGGGGGGUUAUCCCAUCUUUUCCAACAGGGUGCAAUAAGCCUGUAGUCGCAUUCACAACAAUCUCUGUGGUGCCACCUGCUGCUGUUCCCAACACAGGUAACUGAAACGCCAUGGCUUCUAUGGUUAUUCUCCCAAAGCAUUCUCCCCUUGCCUGUGAAUUCUGAACAAGAACAUCAACAGCUGCUAGAUAGGGAGCUAUAGUAACAGUUUUGUUUACAAAGUGAACACGAUCUUGAAUCUUUUUUUGCAUCACAUAAUUCCGUAAUUCUGCCUCAAACUUGGUCUGAGCAGUCAUGUCACUGCCCACAAUUACUGCAUGCAUCGAUGGCACCUUCAGCUUCUUCACUUGGAUCAACUCCAAGCUCUCAUAAAAGGAACGCAAAAAUAGAUCCUGGCCUUUUCCACGUGAAACACCUGCAAUCAUAUGGUUCUCUGGUAUUUAAGAAAUACAUAGAUAGGUGAGAACUGAGAAGUGGGAAAAACUAAUUGAACAUCUAAAAGUAGUUAUGAUUACUUUCUGAGCUGAGGUAACCAAAAAAGUAGUUAUGCUUAUGGAAGAGAUAAUAAUAAUAAAUCCAAGUUUACAGAGUAAAAAGGUUAGAAAGGAAAAUUCAAGUUUAUGGAGUAAAAAGGUUAGAAGAUACUGGACAACGAUUUUUAGCAUCUUCUAUCACUUGAGUGGAACACAACUGGAUUAGUCAUUUUAACUACAGAGCUGACUUAAUCUAAGGGAAAGUAGACUUAGAGUUUAAAGGAGUCUCAUUAGCAUGAAAACAGUACUGUUAAUUAUGGCAAAGAGUAAAUCUUCAUCUCGAACUCCAAGAGACUCCCGUAUAUGUUCACGCAAAACCCUUUUUGCCACACCAUCUUCAGCAACUUCCAUAAGUUCCUUGCUAUUUCCAAGGUGAACAACAUAGGUCUCAGGCAUUUUAAUCCUGCAGAUAAAAGAUAAAAUGGCCAAAAACAAAAAGAAAUUUAUUACACAAAAUGUAUAGAAAUAAGUAAUGAGUUUUUUGGUUUCAUAUCUGAAUUGCGACCCAAAUUGGAAAAUUAAGAAAAGCAUUACAAAUAGUCCAACCUUUGCAAUUGUCCAAACCAGCUGAAAGUAAGCACCAAACCAGCUGGAAAUGAAGUAUGAACUAGGAAAAAAUAUUAAUGGAACUCAACGGUCUUCAUUGAGUAAGAGGGCAAAGAAAAUUGUCCAACCCUUAAACCAAGGUAGUUAAAAGCAUAAG
rnacentral:misc_RNA from 1 species